CGACAAACAAGACGGACAGACGGACGGACAGACGGACAGACAGACAUGGCUCUAUCGACUCGUCUAUUGAUGCUGAUCAAGAAUAUAUAUCUUUUAUGGGGUCGGAAACGCUUCCUUCUGUGCGUUACAUACAACAAUACAAUUUUUCCUUUUGGAAACCUUAUAUUUCCCAGACGGUAAGCUUAGCCAACGAAGUGUUUGGGUCCAAUUUUUAGCUUCAUCACAUAUCUUUUCAGAAUGUCAAUAUUCUAUACUACCAAAUCAAAGAUACUUAAGUUAUC
rnacentral:lncRNA from 1 species